ACGAAUCUAAGUCGAUACACUGUGCUGGUGGAAACACAUGUGCACGUGUGUCGCAAACAUCCACACACCUGUGAACCCUAGACUCUGUGGUGAUUGACUGCCCUGACCUUUGGUCUAUGCAAAAGAGGGUCUCUGAGCCCUCCAUCUCCCAGGGUACUUUUUAUCACACUCCAAAUGUAAUGGAAUGUCUCUGUGCAUAAUGCGCAAAUAUA
rnacentral:misc_RNA from 1 species